CCCCUCUCAAGGUCACACCUGGAGAGUUUCCAAUAUUCUACCAGUCUCGACUAUGGGAGGGAGAGUCAAGCAGAAGAAAAUCCAUUCCAUUUCUAGCUUGGGCAGUGGUUAGCGAAUGGAAAGCAAUCUGCUACAAGU